AUUGAACGCUGGCGGCAUGCCUUACACAUGCAAGUCGAACGGCAGCACGGGAGCAAUCCUGGUGGCGAGUGGCGAACGGGUGAGUAAAGUAUCGGAACGUGCCCAGUCGUGGGGGAUAACGUAGCGAAAGUUACGCUAAUACCGCAUACGAUCUAUGGAUGAAAGCGGGGGAUCGCAAGACCUCGCGCGAUUGGAGCGGCCGAUAUCAGAUCAGGUAGUUGGUGGGGUAAAGGCUCACCAAGCCGACGAUCUGUAGCUGGUCUGAGAGGACGACCAGCCACACUGGGACUGAGACACGGGCCAGACUCCUACGGGAGGCAGCAGUGGGGAAUUUUGGACAAUGGGCGAAAGCCUGAUCCAGCCAUGCCGCGUGCAGGAUGAAGGCCUUCGGGUUGUAAACUGCUUUUGUACGGAACGAAAAGGUUUGGCCUAAUAAGCUGAGCUCAUGACGGUACCGUAAGAAUAAGCACCGGCUAACUACGUGCCAGCCGCCGCAGUAA
rnacentral:rRNA from 1 species